UCACAAUCUCAGAAAAGCACAAGUUUUGACUUAAUAGCCUGGUAGAUGGAUAGUUUUCAGCACACAAGAACUAUGUUGGAAAUUUGUACUUCGCCAUGCUCUUUUGUAGUUGCAUGGCAGUUGAUGGACGUGCGGCAUUUGAGAGGAACAGUUUUGAUAUACUUCCUCCGUUCCUAAAUAUAAGUCUUUGUAGAGAUUUUAUUAUGAACUAUAUACGGAUGUAUGUAGAUGCAUUUUAAGUGUGGAUUCAUUUAUUUUGCUCCGUAUGUAGUCCAUCUAAUGGAAUAUCUAUAAAGACUUACAUUUAGGAACGGAGGGAGUAUAUAACUACUUCGUCAUGCUCUUUUGUGCUUGCACGGCGGUUGAUGGACUCGCAGCAUUUGGAGAGGAACAGCUUUGAUAUAUAACUGUUUACAGUUGGUGGCUUAGGUGGCUAGUUUAGGUGACUUCCCUCAGUUGGCAAUAUCAAAUGCGGUUGUUCGAUACUACAAGUUCUUGUUGGCCCGUUUAUGUUUCUAUCUGCUACUGAUUUAUUUUUUAUGAACAUUAUUUCUUCCAUCAUAUAUUCUACUCUCUCCAUUCACAAAUAUAAAAUGCUCUACUCCUUCCUAUCUAUG
rnacentral:lncRNA from 1 species